rnacentral:rRNA from 1 species
UACGAAGGGGGCUAGCGUUGCUCGGAAUGACUGGGCGUAAAGGGCGCGUAGGCGGGCUGCCGCGUCCGGGGUGAAAUCCCACGGCUCAACCGUGGAACGGCCCCGGGUACGGGCGGCCUCGAGGGGGGUAGGGGCGUGCGGAACUGUGGGUGGAGCGGUGAAAUGCGUUGAGAUCCACAGGAACUCCGGUGGCGAAGGCGGCACGCUGGACCCCCACUGACGCUGAGGCGCGAAAGCCAGGGGAGCGAACGGG